AGUGUAGUUCAUUUUGUCUCUGCUGGAACGUAUCUUACUAUCUUAUCCCACAGUCUGCCCCCUGCUAGCUUCUUCAUAAACCGUCUUCCGCCCGGUGGCCGCUGGAGGUCUUGCCCGGUCUGCAAACCUUCCUUUGGAUGCAGAAACUGAGAUGCUGGGGAGGGAUAGAACCCGUAUUUUAGUGUCUAGCAAAGCCUCCUCAUUUAGGUAGCAUUGAUAUGCAGUCCUAGCAUGAGAAAAUGGAGAGCAAGCCUCACACUGUAAAUACUCACUGUCCGUUUUCGAGUUGUUCAGCCUUGUUCCGACAGGGAAAGAAUUCUUAGGAUGGAUUCUUAGGAUGGAUUCAAAAGUACUUUUAUUUAUUGGUAUUGUGGUGCAUGCACUUCGUGCAUGCUAGGCAAGCGCUCUACCAUGGGGCUUUUGUUAAUCCCAUAAAUGCAGGAGUAAGACCACCGACCCAUAUCCUGGCUAAAUAAUUAAAGCAAGCUUUUUUCAUUCGUACGCAUGGGCUGUUUCUCCCUAAUAGAGUGGGUCAAGAGAUCAGCAUUGGACAUGGGGAAGACAAGGGGUGUCAUAGUUCAGGAGUAGGGGUUUCCAAAUGGGGGAUUUGGCAGGCAAAUAGGCGGGGUUACAGAAACAGAACAUAAGCAUAAACAAGUUGGUCCUAACAACCUCCUGAAACAAAGGCAUGGUUGCCAUUUCCAGGAACAGGCAAGUACAGAACCUUUUGUAGUUAAGAUUAUAGGUGGGGCAUAGCUCAAUCCUUGAGAAACAAAUUUAAUCGUAGACAGAAAUGAAUAUAGUUUGUUGUUUACUGUAAGAUGGCUUUCAAGCCUUAGAUAGAGGCAGAUUGGUUUAUCACUAUACCUCACUAAAUUGCACAGUCUGGUCUUGAACUUGGGAUGCUCCUCCCUCAAAGAUUAGAGUUAGCAAAGUUGAAAGUUUUUGGUAAGAAAUUAGGACACUGUAGGUAGAAAUAGUGGGGAUAGGGCCUGCAGUAGUAAAUACAACAGGACUUGGUGACCGGUGGUAUUGGAACAUAGGAGGGAAAGUACAGGUUUUCUUAAAAAUCAAGAACACAAGCCAGAUGGUGGUGGCACACACCUUUAAUCCUAGGACUUAGGGGGCAGAGGCAGGUGGACCUCUGAGUUUGAGGCCAGUCUCCUCUACAAAGUGAGUGCCAGGACUGCCAGGGUUACACAGAGAAACCCUGUCUCAAAAUAACUCAAAAAAGAUGGAAUGCUCAAUACCCUAGGUUUGAUGAUCAGCAAAAAAGAAUUCAAUCAAAACAAAUAGAGUACAUGAAAACUCUGUGCAGUGAAAUCUAACAGAAACUGGAGGCCCACGUUUGGAGCCAAAGCGCCCUAGAUGUAGGGCGAUUUGGGAAUAAAUGAGAUUGCUCACCUUGAUGGAGUAUAGAAAGAAAAUGAUGUAGGGACAUGGGAAGAGGGAGGAACUCCCUUACUCUGGAGUCUGGUUGAUGUCUUUCACCUGUAGAGAAGCAAGAAUGUUAACACAAAAUUAACAGUUGCUUAAAGCCUAAGUCCCCUCCCAGUAGUUGUCUAGGAUUCUCACUUGAAACCCCAUUUAAAGGUGAAGGACCAUGUCCUAUGCCCCUUGUACAACCCUAGUGGCUUCUGAUUGGUUUGUUUGUUUGUGUAGCUCUGGCUGUCCUGGAACUCACUUUGUAGACAAGACUAGCCUCCAACUCACAGAGAUCCACCUGCCUCUGCCUCCCUAGUGCUGAGAUUAAAGGCAUGCGCCACCACCCACAAGGCUUCUGUUCUCUUAUUACCAGAUUAUAAUUCCAUCCAAGACACCUCCUGUCCAAAGAGAGAAAGAGGAGGAGAGUGAAAAAAAAUGUUUCUUAGCAGCCACCCUUUUAAGAUAUAACUAGAGAACCACCAAAAUGAUCUAUGUGGCUGAGGCUAAGACAGUUGUGAUCCUCCCUUAAGGAACCCAGAUCUGUGCUUGGCAAUGUCUUGCCUUCUGAGACCCUUUCCUGAACACAUACCCAUACUUGGUCAUGUCUUAGGGGGAGACAUUGGAUCUGUCUUGUCUGUCUGAGUCUCUUUCUCUCCUAACCCUUGAGCUUAAAAGUAUUUAAUAACAUCUCCCAACUGCUUAUGAAAUUCUCUUUCAGGGUUGGGGAUUUAGCUCAGUGGUAGAGCCCUGAGUUCGGUCCUCAGCUCUGAAAAAAAAAAAAAAGAAAAAAGAAAUUCUCUUUCUGUGUUGAAACUCCCAAUCCCAGUUUUGCUUGAGUUGAGCUCUCUAAAAGAUGAAAGGACUCCUGAGAGUGACAGUGUGGAGCAGCUGUACCUCUCUUCCCUCACCACGGACAACCUGACAGACUUUAUUAUAGCCUGUCAGGGCCAGCUAGAAGCAGGGAGAAGUUGUUUGAUUUUGAGAGCUCUCUUUUGAGGCUUUGCCACAGUGCUGGAAUUAAAGGUGUGUACCAGCACUGCCCAGCAAAUGUCUGGUUCUUUAGCACUUUUGGUAAGCGGGGGAAGAGAGGCACCAAUACAUGGUGAUUAGGAGAAGCGGGUAAUUGAGGUUGGAAGUGAAAGAAAAAAAUUACGCCAUGGUGGGUCAAAAAUUUUAGGAAAGGAUUUUUUUUUAGGUUGAAAAAUGAAAACAAAA